GGGAAUUUUCCGCAAUGGGCGAAAGCCUGACGGAGCAAUGCCGCGUGGAGGUGGAAGGCCUACGGGUCGUCAACUACUUUUCUCGGAGAAGAAACAAUGACGGUAUCUGAGGAAUAAGCAUCGGCUAACUCUGUGCCAG
rnacentral:rRNA from 1 species